GUGACCUUGGAGUAGUAGGAUUGCUAGAUGUACCCUCCAAGGUGUUGGCCUCUUUAGAGAGAAAAUGGAGAGAUAAUUCUCACCUAUUUUUCCCCCAAAAUAAACCCAUUUUUCACUUAAUGAAUAUUUAGUUAUAAAGUCAUUUAUAUAGUCACUUCUUUAAGUGACCUAAAUAACCAAACAACCCUAAUUCAUCUAAUAUGGCCAUUUAGGGGAAUUUUGGGCUUUUGGGCUUUAAUGAAUCUUUAUUCAUUAAAUUGUCAUACAACUUAAGUUAAUG
rnacentral:lncRNA from 1 species